UACGUAGGGGGCAAGCGUUGUCCGGAAUUAUUGGGCGUAAAGAGCGCGUAGGCGGUCCGAUAAGUCGGCUGUGAAAGUCAGGGGCUCAACCCUUGAAAGCCGGCCGAUACUGUCGGACUAGAGUCCGGAAGAGGCGAGUGGAAUUCCCGGUGUAGCGGUGAAAUGCGCAGAUAUCGGGAGGAACACCCGUGGCGAAGGCGGCCAACUGGGCCGAGCCCUGACGGCUGAGGCGCCGAAGGCGUGGGGAGCGAACGGG
rnacentral:rRNA from 1 species